rnacentral:rRNA from 1 species
UAAUACGUAGGGCGCAAGCGUUGUCCGGAAUUAUUGGGCGUAAAGAGCUCGUAGGUGGCUUGUCGCGUCUGCCGUGAAAGCCCAUGGCUUAACUGUGGGUCUGCGGUGGAUACGGGCUGGCUAGAGGUAGGUAGGGGCAAGCGGAAUUCCUGGUGUAGCGGUGAAAUGCGCAGAUAUCAGGAGGAACACCGGUGGCGAAGGCGGCUUGCUGGGCCUUACCUGACGCUGAGGAGCGAAAGCGUGGGGAGCGAACAGGAUUAGAUACCCUGGUAGUCCACGCUGUAAACGUUGGGCGCUAGGUGUGGGGUCCUUCCACGGGUUCCGUGCCGUAGCUAACGCAUUAAGCGCCCCGCCUGGGGAGUACGGCCGCAAGGCUA